GAAGUGUGGACGCCAGUCUGCAUGGAGCCGACCUUGAAAUACCACCCUUUAAUGUUUGAUGUUCUAACGUUGACCCGUGAUCCGGGUUGCGGACAGUGUCUGGUGGGUAGUUUGACUGGGGCGGUCUCCUCCUAAAGAGUAACGGAGGAGCACGAAGGUUGGCUAAUCCUGGUCGGACAUCAGGAGGUUAGUGCAAUGGCAUAAGCCAGCUUGACUGCGAGCGUGACGGCGCGAGCAGGUGCGAAAGCAGGUCAUAGUGAUCCGGUGGUUCUGAAUGGAAGGGCCAUCGCUCAACGGAUAAAAGGUACUCCGGGGAUAACAGGCUGAUACCGCCCAAGAGUUCAUAUCGACGGCGGUGUUUGGCACCUCGAUGUCGGCUCAUCACAUCCUGGGGCUGAAGUAGGUCCCAAGGGUAUGGCUGUUCGCCAUUUAAAGUGGUACGCGAGCUGGGUUUAGAACGUCGUGAGACAGUUCGGUCCCUAUCUGCCGUGGGCGCUGGAGAACUGAGGGGGGCUGCUCCUAGUACGAGAGGACCGGAGUGGACGCAUCACUGGUGUUCGGGUUGUCAUGCCAAUGGCACUGCCCGGUAGCUAAAUGCGGAAGAGAUAAGUGCUGAAAGCAUCUAAGCACGAAACUUGCCCCGAGAUGAGUUCUCCCUGACUCCUUGAGAGUCCUGAAGGAACGUUGAAGACGACGACGUUGAUAGGCCGGGUGUGUAAGCGCAGCGAUGCGUUGAGCUAACCGGUACUAAUGAACCGUGAGGCUUAACCUU
rnacentral:rRNA from 1 species